rnacentral:rRNA from 1 species
AUUGAACGCUGGCGGCAUGCUUUACACAUGCAAGUCGAACGGUAGAGGGGGCAACCCCUUGAGAGUGGCGAACGGGUGAGUAAUGCAUCGGAACGUGCCCAGUCGUGGGGGAUAGCCCGGGGAAACCCGGAUUAAUACCGCAUACGACCUGAGGGUGAAAGCGGGGGACCGAAAGGCCUCGCGCGAUUGGAGCGGCCGAUGUCGGAUUAGGUAGUUGGUGGGGUAAAGGCCUACCAAGCCUGCGAUCCGUAGCUGGUCUGAGAGGACGACCAGCCACACUGGGACUGGGAGACGGCCCAGACUCCUACGGGAGGCAGCAGUGGGGAAUUUUGGACAAUGGGCGCAAGCCUGAUCCAGCCAUGCCGCGUGCGGGAAGAAGGCCUUCGGGUUGUAAACCGCUUUUGUCAGGGAAGAAAUCCCUUGGACUAAUACUCUGGGGGGAUGACGGUACCUGAAGAAUAAGCACCGGCUAACUACGUGCCAGCAGCCGCCGUAA